rnacentral:rRNA from 1 species
CAGUCGCCGCGGUAAUACGUAGGUGGCAAGCGUUGUCCGGAAUUAUUGGGCGUAAAGGGCUCGCAGGCGGUUUCUUAAGUCUGAUGUGAAAGCCCCCGGCUCAACCGGGGAGGGUCAUUGGAAACUGGGAAACUUGAGUGCAGAAGAGGAGAGUGGAAUUCCACGUGUAGCGGUGAAAUGCGUAGAGAUGUGGAGGAACACCAGUGGCGAAGGCGACUCUCUGGUCUGUAACUGACGCUGAGGCGCGAAAGCGUGGGGAGCAAACCGGAUUAGAUACCCGCGUAGUCCCUGUCUCUUAUAC